rnacentral:ncRNA from 1 species
ACGAACUGCUGGAGAGAUUCUAAAUGAACACCGAAGGAGCAAACCAGUGAUGGUGAAACUCUCAGGUAAAAGGACAGCAGGAUG